GGGUUGUGAGGUUAAGCGACUAAGCGUACACGGUGGAUGCCCUGGCAGUCAGAGGCGAUGAAGGACGUGCUAAUCUGCGAAAAGCGCCGGCGAGGUGAUAUGAACCUUUGACCCGGCGAUGUCCGAAUGGGGAAACCCAGUGCAAUCCGUUGCACUAUCGUUUGAUGAAUACAUAGUCAAACGAGGCGAACCGGGGGAACUGAAACAUCUAAGUACCCCGAGGAAAAGAAAUCAACCGAGAUUCCCCCAGUAGCGGCGAGCGAACGGGGAGCAGCCCAGAGCCUGAAUCAGCUUGUGUGUUAGUGGAACGGUCUGGAAAGUCCGGCGAUACAGGGUGACAGCCCCGUACACGAAAGCACACAGGCUGUGAGCUCGAUGAGUAGGGCGGGACACGUGGUAUCCUGUCUGAAUAUGGGGGGACCAUCCUCCAAGGCUAAAUACUCCUGACUGACCGAUAGUGAACCAGUACCGUGAGGGAAAGGCGAAAAGAACCCCGGCGAGGGGAGUGAAAAAGAACCUGAAACCGUGUACGUACAAGCAGUGGGAGCCUCUUAAUGGGGUGACUGCGUACCUUUUGUAUAAUGGGUCAGCGACUUAUAUUCUGUAGCAAGGUUAACCGAAUAGGGGAGCCGAAGGGAAACCGAGUCUUAACUGGGCGUUAAGUUGCAGGGUAUAGACCCGAAACCCGGUGAUCUAGCCAUGGGCAGGUUGAAGGUUGGGUAACACUAACUGGAGGACCGAACCGACUAAUGUUGAAAAAUUAGCGGAUGACUUGUGGCUGGGGGUGAAAGGCCAAUCAAACCGGGAGAUAGCUGGUUCUCCCCGAAAGCUAUUUAGGUAGCGCCUCGUGAAUUCAUCUCCGGGGGUAGAGCACUGUUUCGGCUAGGGGGCCAUCCCGGCUUACCAACCCGAUGCAAACUACGAAUACCGGAGAAUGUUAUCACGGGAGACACACGGCGGGUGCUAACGUCCGUCGUGAAGAGGGAAACAACCCAGACCGCCAGCUAAGGUCCCAAAGUCAUGGUUAAGUGGGAAACGAUGUGGGAAGGCACAGACAGCCAGGAUGUUGGCUUAGAAGCAGCCAUCAUUUAAAGAAAGCGUAAUAGCUCACUGGUCGAGUCGGCCUGCGCGGAAGAUGUAACGGGGCUAAACCAUGCACCGAAGCUGCGGCAGCGACACUAAGUGUUGUUGGGUAGGGGAGCGUUCUGUAAGCCUGCGAAGGUGUGCUGUGAGGCAUGCUGGAGGUAUCAGAAGUGCGAAUGCUGACAUAAGUAACGAUAAAGCGGGUGAAAAGCCCGCUCGCCGGAAGACCAAGGGUUCCUGUCCAACGUUAAUCGGGGCAGGGUGAGUCGACCCCUAAGGCGAGGCCGAAAGGCGUAGUCGAUGGGAAACAGGUUAAUAUUCCUGUACUUGGUGUUACUGCGAAGGGGGGACGGAGAAGGCUAUGUUAGCCGGGCGACGGUUGUCCCGGUUUAAGCAUGUAGGCUGGUUAUCCAGGCAAAUCCGGAUAAUCAAGGCUGAGGUGUGAUGACGAGUCACUACGGUGAUGAAGUAACAAAUGCCCUGCUUCCAGGAAAAGCCUCUAAGCAUCAGGUAACACGAAAUCGUACCCCAAACCGACACAGGUGGUCAGGUAGAGAAUACCAAGGCGCUUGAGAGAACUCGGGUGAAGGAACUAGGCAAAAUGGUGCCGUAACUUCGGGAGAAGGCACGCUGAUAUGUAGGUGAAGCCCCUGCGGGCGGAGCUGAAAUCAGUCGAAGAUACCAGCUGGCUGCAACUGUUUAUUAAAAACACAGCACUGUGCAAACACGAAAGUGGACGUAUACGGUGUGACGCCUGCCCGGUGCCGGAAGGUUAAUUGAUGGGGUUAUCCGUAAGGAGAAGCUCUUGAUCGAAGCCCCGGUAAACGGCGGCCGUAACUAUAACGGUCCUAAGGUAGCGAAAUUCCUUGUCGGGUAAGUUCCGACCUGCACGAAUGGCGUAAUGAUGGCCAGGCUGUCUCCACCCGAGACUCAGUGAAAUUGAACUCGCUGUGAAGAUGCAGUGUACCCGCGGCAAGACGGAAAGACCCCGUGAACCUUUACUAUAGCUUGACACUGAACAUUGAGCCUUGAUGUGUAGGAUAGGUGGGAGGCUUUGAAGCGUGGACGCCAGUCUGCGUGGAGCCAACCUUGAAAUACCACCCUUUAAUGUUUGAUGUUCUAACGUGGACCCGUAAUCCGGGUUGCGGACAGUGUCUGGUGGGUAGUUUGACUGGGGCGGUCUCCUCCCAAAGAGUAACGGAGGAGCACGAAGGUUGGCUAAUCCUGGUCGGACAUCAGGAGGUUAGUGCAAUGGCAUAAGCCAGCUUGACUGCGAGCGUGACGGCGCGAGCAGGUGCGAAAGCAGGUCAUAGUGAUCCGGUGGUUCUGAAUGGAAGGGCCAUCGCUCAACGGAUAAAAGGUACUCCGGGGAUAACAGGCUGAUACCGCCCAAGAGUUCAUAUCGACGGCGGUGUUUGGCACCUCGAUGUCGGCUCAUCACAUCCUGGGGCUGAAGUAGGUCCCAAGGGUAUGGCUGUUCGCCAUUUAAAGUGGUACGCGAGCUGGGUUUAGAACGUCGUGAGACAGUUCGGUCCCUAUCUGCCGUGGGCGCUGGAGAAUUGAGGGGGGCUGCUCCUAGUACGAGAGGACCGGAGUGGACGCAUCACUGGUGUUCGGGUUGUCAUGCCAAUGGCACUGCCCGGUAGCUACAUGCGGAAGAGAUAAGUGCUGAAAGCAUCUAAGCACGAAACUUGCCCCGAGAUGAGUUCUCCCCUGGACUUUAAGUCCACUAAAGGAACGUUGAAGACGACGACGUUGAUAGGCCGGGUGUGUAAGCGCAGCGAUGCGUUGAGCUAACCGGUACUAAUGAACCGUGAGGCUUAACCUUACAACGCCGAAG
rnacentral:rRNA from 1 species